UACGAAGGGGGCUAGCGUUGCUCGGAUUGACUGGGCGUAAAGGGCGCGUAGGCGGUUCGUACAGUCAGACGUGAAAUCCUGGGCUCAACCUGGGGGCUGCGUUUGAUACGUGCGGACUUGAGUGCGGAAGAGGUCGUGGAAUUCCCAGUGUAGAGGUGAAAUUCGUAGAUAUUGGGAAGAACACCGGUGGCGAAGGCGGCGACCUGGUCCGAUACUGACGCUGAGGCGCGAAAGCGUGGGGAGCAAACAGG
rnacentral:rRNA from 1 species